rnacentral:tRNA from 1 species
GAGGGUAUAGCUCAGUGGCAGAGCACAUGUUUAGCAUGCACGAGGUCCUGGGUCUAAUCCCUAGUACCUCCA